GAUGAAGAACGUAGCGAAAUGCGAUAAGUAAUGUGAAUUGCAGAAUUCAGUGAAUCAUCGAAUCUUUGAACGCACAUUGCGCCCGCCAGUAUUCUGGCGGGCAUGCCUGUCCGAGCGUCAUUUCAACCAUCAAGCCCCGGGCUUGUGUUGGGGACCUGCGUCCGACGCAGGCCCUGAAAACCAGUGGCGGGCUCGCUGUCCACACCGAGCGUAGUAACUAACCUCGCUAUGGAGUGGCGCGGGCGCCUGCCGUAAAACCCCCAAUUUCACAAGGUUGACCUCGGAUCAGGUAGGAAGACCCGCUGAACUUAAGCAUAUCAAUAAGCGGAGGA
rnacentral:misc_RNA from 1 species